UUAAACGCUGACUUGGUAACAAUCUAAAGAGGCUUUAAAAAUGAUAAUCUGUAAAUCACGCGUUGGAACUUGACAAUUUUAUUUGUGCUGGACAUUCGAAAGCCGAUGAAAAGAUGUAAUUCUGGUGAGACGGUGGAGGAUCCUAGUCAGGAACAAACCCACAGUACUGGGGACCUCUUAGCAGCUGACAUGCUGGAUACAAACACAUUGCGAUUGGGAACGGAUGCUCAAGAAGUCUUCGAUGAUGAAGACCCACUACUGGCGUUACUGAGAACACAGAGUGACCCAGAGGCAAACACCGACUUACCACACACCACAACAGCUCACAAGGGUGAUGAAUCUCCGAGGAAGCCAAGAAUAUCCAGGACGAAAACGUCAGACAAGAAAGCAUGGAAAGACCUGGACGAUGACCUUCAUGCAAUACUGGAGACAGCACUCCAAGGAGCAGUUGAGAGAAAGCUGGUUGCUUUAACCAACCUUGUCUACACAGUUGGGAAAGAAAGAUUCGGUCUGACUAUCCAGAAAACCACCAAGAAACCUGUACAGAUGAAUAGAAGGCAGCGACAGAUAAAGGGCAUCAGAAGUGAUUUGAAGGUUUUGCGAAGGAGAUAUAGGCAUGCCAGGGAAGAAGAAAAGCCAGGGCUGAAUCAGUUAAGAGACAGCCAGAUGGAACAACUUUUAAACCUAUGCAAGGCAGAACAACUUCCGUGAGAAAAGAAGGAAAAAGGCCAAACGUCGUGCUGAGUUCAUUGCAAAUCCAUUUAAGUUCUCUAAUAACCUGCUAGACAAAGAGAAAUCGGGCAAGAUAGAGAGCAGCAUGGAAGAAAUUACACAGUUCCUAACUGAAACGCACUCUGAUGAUAUCCGAGACGUACCGUUAGGCAACUGCCAGAGAAUAGAACCAGUACCAGAACCCACAACACCUCUAGACACCAAGGAACCUACACUGAAAGAGGUUUCAGAAGUAGUUCAAAAGGCAAGAGCAGGGUCGGCCCCAGGACCAAAUAGUAUCCCUUACAAGGUGUAUAAGAUGUGCCCUAAACUUCUUCGACGCUUAUGGAAUCUUCUGAAAGUGGUUUGGAGGAAAGGUAAAGUUCCAGAUUGUUGGCAACAGGCAGAAGGAAUAUUUACACCAAAGGAAAAGGAUUCGAAGACCGUCACCCAAUUCAGAACCAUUUCCUUACUGAACGUUGAGGGGAAAAUCUUCUUUGCUGUGCUGGCCAAGAUAAUGACGAAGUAUCUGACAUCAAACCAAUACAUUGAUAACUCAGUGCAAAAGGGAGGCGUCCCAGGGUUCUCUGGAUGUGUGGAACAUACAAGCGCCCUCAGUCAGAUCAUCAGGGAAGCAAAGGUUAACCAAAAAGACCUCACUGUUGUCUGGCUUGACCUUGCCAAUGCGUAUGGCUGCAUACCACACAAGCUAAUGGAGACCACACUGAAGCACUACCACAUCCCAGACCAUGUGCAACAGAUUAUCAAUGGAUACUUCAGUAACAUACAACUACGGUUUGCUGUAGGAGAACAGUCAACACCUUGGAUAAGGCUCGAGAAAGGAAUAGUAACAGGCUGCACUAUUUCAGUCGUGUUAUUCGUGAUGGGAAUGAACUUAAUUAUCAACGCCGCAAAGAGGGAAACCAGAGGACCAAAGACAACCUCCGGGAUAUACCUCCCAUCCAAUAGAGGUUUUAUGGAUGACCUCACCGUAACUACAACGACACACGUGCAAGCUCGUUGGGUUCUUAGAGCAUUGGAUGAGACAGUGACUUGGGCAAGAAUGAAGUUCAAACCAAAGAAAUCGAGGAGCUUGGUAAUCAAGAAGGGAAAGGUUACUCAAAGGUUCACCCUCCAGAUACAGAGCGAAGACAUACCAUCCAUAGUAGACAAUCCUACCAAAUGCCUAGGAAAAUGGUACGAUGCUAGCCUUAACGACACAAGCAGCACAAACCGCACCAAGAACCAACUCCAAGAAGGUCUGAAGCAGAUAGACCAGACAUCACUUCCUGGGAAAUUCAAGGCAUGGUUAUACCAACAUGGAUUGUUACCAAGACUCAUGUGGCCUCUAAUGCUGUAUGAGAUAGCAGUUUCUACUGUGGAAGGCUUUGAAAGAACCAUACAGAUACCUCCGUAGAUGGUUAGGGGUCCCACGAAGUUUCACCAGCAUCGGACUGUAUGGGAGGACCAACAAGCUCCAACUCCCAAUAUCAUCAGUUGUUGAGGAGUACAAAGUUGCUAAGGGCAGGAUGGUGGUGACACUGAAAGAAUCUUCUGAUGAACUGAUCAGGAUGGCAGGCAUAGAGACUAGAACCGGAAGGAAGUGGUCGGCAAGCCAGGCGGUGUCCCAAGCUGAAAGUAUACUGAGACACAAAGACAUCGUCGUAACUACUACGGAGGGCAGACAAGGGCUUGGUAUGAUAAAACCACAGCGAUGGAGUACGGCAGAUAAAAGGGAGAGGAGUCAGAUGGUGCAGAAGGAAAUCAGGGCGAGCGAAGAGGAGAGCAGAAGAGCCCGUUCAGUUGAAAUGGGUGGACAAUGUGCCUGGAACAAAUGGACAACAACAGAGAGGAAGUUGACUUGGGCAGACAUCUGGCAGUAUGAGCCGCUAAGACUCAAAUUCCUGUUAAGGUCAGUUUACGACCUGCUGCCAUCCCCAACCAACCUCCACAGAUGGGGUCUAGUGGAAGACCCAAGUUGCAGUCUCUGUAACAAGCCAGGCACCAUGGAACACAUCCUGUCAUCAUGUCAGACUUCGCUGACACAGGGCCGCUACAGAUGGAGACACGAUGCUGUCCUUAGGGAGCUAGCAGAUGUACUUGAGCGCGAGAGAAGGAAGAAAAGAACAGCAAAGAAAACAGCAUCUACAAAGAUCAACUUUGUCAAGGCAGGGGAAACAACCACAAAGCUAGCUCCUAGAAACACGUCGAUCUUAGAUGAAUCAGACCAAUGGGAGAUGAAAGUCGAGUUAGGAAAGAAGCUUGUCUUUCCCGAGAUCGUCCAAACUACACUGAGGCCUGACAUAGUGAUAUGGUCCACCAAACACAAGAAGCUGGUGACCAUUGAACUCACCGUCCCAUGGGAAUCAAGGUGCGACAUGGCAUAUGAGCGGAAGAAAGCCAUAUACACUGAUCUCUUAGACCAGUGCAGUUCCCGCGGUUGGAAAACAUGGCUGUUCCCGAUCGAAAUUGGCGCCAGAGGCUUUCCCGCACAAUCACUGUGGAGGAUGCUAAGUGCCCUAGGAAUCAGGGGAGGAGAGAGAAAGAGAGCUGUUGGGAGACUAGGUCAAGCAGCAGAGAGAGCGUCCAGUUGGCUAUGGAUUAAGAGGGAGGAGAAGAGCUGGCAGCUAACCACUGACCCGUAUUGCCUGAUCAGCACUGCGGUUUCACCGCCCGGAGAGUGUCCUGGGAUUAAAGGAUGAAACACUUGUUGAUUGGCGGCUCCCAGCUGAUGAGUCAGUGGCUUCGUGCAGCACAGACUGUAUUAAACACAAUACGAAAUACUUCACGAAAUUUCCGUUGAUUUUUAGCGUUAUAUAGACUUUAAAUAUAUAUGUCUUUGAUGUCUUUGAUAUAGAGCGUCGGCAGUUAUUCAAUACGCUAUUUUUUCUUAUAAAUGCUUGUUUAAUGAAAAGCAGCCGCAUUGUAAUCAAUAACAUUUCAAGGCAUACAGCUGGCUUAUAAGAUUUUUUUUAUUAAUCUUGACAUUGAGCCUAUCAGUUAAAGAUUGAACUACGGCGAGGUAACUAGGUUUAUUUCGUACAAGUCUUCAACAAGUUUUUAAUGUUUAAACUGAAACUUACCAAAAAUAUAGUAUUCAACAUCCACGCAGUGUUUUCAACUUCUUUACUAUAUUGCGAAACUUGUCAAACGUAGAUAUACACCAUGGGAUCAGCACCGUCUUGCGGCUCAAACGUUAGGAACAUCGACACCCAUCUACAACGAUUAUCCAGUAACCAAAAAUUGACCGAAGAUGAACUGAACAUGUUGACAACUAUGUUAAGGACAAAAGCUUCAGAGGCAAUGGAAAUCAAGCACAAGUUGGCCGAUGAUGGACUUUAUGUUGACAGCAUUAGGAAAACGAUUGCAUUAUUUUUCAUAAACACGUGUUCUCAUAAGUUUAACAAAGUGAAACAAAGGGUUAAAUUUAUCAUGGAAAUAUCAACUAUUUUGCUACAGACAAAGUUCAUAAACAUAAUACGGGGCUGCUUAAUAAAGUUGCACAUUCGUGGUUGGGUGAAUGUUGAUGGAACCGUGGACAAAUCUGCUUAUGACUUGAUACGUUGGUCAAUGUCCUUCGUUGUAGACUUGGCCGAUGUUUCAGAUGAAUUAUCGUUCUCUUUGGCUAAUGACAAAAACUAUAUGGCAGCAAUUAAAACGAUUCUUGAAGAUAAAUCCACUCAAUAUCUUCAAAGCGAUAUAUCGCCGUUGUCGGACUUUGAUUCGGAGAUAAUUGAAAAUUGUUUGAAAGUUGUAACCAAUAUAUCAAGGUGGUCGAAUUGCGCUCAACUUCUUCGAAACCACAAUUUCACAAAGGUUAUAAAGCCGUAUCUCAACUCCAGUGAUGAAUUGACUAGCCUCGCUGUCUUAUCAGCACUCGCUGCGAUUGUCAAUGAGUCUGAAUGUGAUAUCAUUAAUGCAGCACUUGAUAAGGUCCAACUUCUCUUGGAUGUGCUUAAGCAUGGCCUGGAUGAAAAUGAUAGGCGCUACAGAGGGUGGUCUUGCAAAGAAUGCGCCUACACUGUUAAAACGCUGGUGCGGAAUGAUGCAAACAAGCAAUUACUCGUUGAACUCGGUGUUUUGGAAUUGCUUGUGAAAAUGGGACGAACCGGAAACGAGGAGGAACAAUGCGAGAGUGUCAACGCGGCGUGGGCCCUGUGUUUUAACAAGGAUACUCAACAAAAGGUGGCAAAGGAUGAAAGUCUUGGGUUGGUGGAGUUGUUGUUUGAUUUGAAAACGUCUUCAAAUUCCCAUAUAAGGAAAACAUGCAACGGUGCACUGUGGACGCUGCGAGAUGUAUUGGCAUCGUCUGAAUACCAGAAAAACAGAAUAUUCGGUAUCAGUUUCUUACCUAAAAGAGCAAAUAGUCUUAUUUAUUUACAUUUGUUUUUAUGACGAGAAGUGACAAUUUGUCUUUGUCUCCUCUAUAUAUAAUAUGAUAACGCCAGAUAUUUAUGACACCAUUAGACAACCGAUGAUGUGCUUGCAGUAUGUGCUUACGUUUUAAGUGAUAAAUUUCGUAUUUUUUUCUUAGGCCACAACAAAUUGAUGAUUUGUUCUACGGAUUUUAGCCAAAAAAAAUGGAGCGAGCGAGCGAAAUAAAAAUAAAUUAAUUUUUAUUCUAUUUUUAAAAAAAUCACAGGCGAGCGAAGAGCGAAAAAUAAAAAAAUAGAUAUAUUGUCUCUGUAAAUUGAUAUUUGUUGCCAAAUAAAUGCAUGAUAUCUUCAAAAUACAAACACAAGGUCAUUUAUUAGUACUAACUAUGUUUAACUCUAGUCCAAUGUUUGUUAAAGAAUGAUAAACAAAAUAUUCUCCAAUAGUUAUUCUGCUUAUUCACAACAGGUAGUGACUACUUAAUGUUAACAUGGUACACUGUACUUUUCACUAGCAAAGUUAUAUAAGAAGCUCAGUCUUCUGUCAAUGAAAGUUAAAUAGCAUGACAAUAAAUAAUAUGCUAAACAUCAA